AUAUCCUGUGAGUGAUGGGGAUUUUAUCACUCCCUCCGGGUGGUGGGAGAUCACCCUAAUUUAUAGGUAUGGAAUAUUAGUAAAUAUAUAUAUAUAUAUGUACAUUGACAUUGUGUAUGUACAUACCCCGUGAGUGAUGGGGAUUUUAUCACUCCCUCCGGGUGGUGGGAGAUCACCCUAAUUUAUAGGUAUAGAAUAUUAGUGAAUAUAUAUAUGUACAUUAACAUUGUGUAUGUACAUACCCCGUGAGUGAUGGGGCUUUUAUCACUCCCUCCGGGUGGUGGGAGAUCAUCCUAAUUUAUUGGUAUGGAAUAUUAGUGAAUAUAUAUAUAUAUAUAUGUACAUUAACAUUGUGUAUGUACAUACCCCGUGAGUGAUGGGAAUUUUAUCACUCCCUCUGGGUGGUGGGAGAUCACCCUAAUUUAUAUGUUUAUUUUUCCUUUAUGUUUAGACUGUCUAAUGGAUGUUUAACAACUUUUAUAAAUUUUACGUUAAACUUGUACCUUACAGUUUUUGUAGUUUCCUUUAUUAGUUUUUUUAAUAGGAAUAAUUUUUUUAUAUUUAUUUUUAAUUAGUGUGACGGAUAGGAGUUGGAUGCAAUUAGAUGACAGACUUUGUGACCAAUAUUUGUAUUUUAUUGUAUAGGAUCAUCAUUAUCUAAUGCAAGAAAAAGAGGUCGAGAGAAAACAAAGAAUAAAAUACUAACAUCUUUGGCUCCUGGUCAAAAAUUGCCAUUGGAAUUCAAUAAUUAUGGUCAAGCCAUUAGAUCAAAUGCUAAUGUGUUUGCAAGUCAUAUUGGCAAGAUUGUUAAAGUAUGUGAAGAUGCACCAAUUUCUUGCAAGCAUUGGGAAGAUGUUCCACAAGACAAUAAGAAUAAAAUGUAUUCAUAUGUACUGGAGAAAUUUGAAUUUGAAGAAAACGAAGUAAGAAAAAAUUAGAUCUUUAGAAAGAUGGGAAGGGCUUUUGCAAAUUAUAGAUAUAGGUUGAAGGCUGACUAUGUAUAUAACAAUGAUGAUGAUCGAAUUAAGUUUGCUCCAACAACAGUCAACCAAGGACAAUGGAGACAAUUUGUCACUUGGUUGAGCUCACAUGAGUUUAAGGUUUCUUGUGCUCGUAAUAAGUUUAAUCGGUCAAAGCAAACAAUGACUAAAACUACAGGCACUAGAAGUUUUGCUUGAGUUAGAGCUGAACAGGCUGAAAUAUUAGGACACGAACCGUCUACAUGGGAAAUGUUCAAGGUGACACACGAGAAAAAAGACGGGUCAAUGGUUGAUUUUACGUCAAAAGAAAAAGUGAGCAAAGUUGGUCCGGCGGAAUGGUUGAAACCUUAUACUGAUGAGAUAAUCGUUGAGCUAGGGAAGAGAGGAGUAAAAAGUCUCCUGGCUGUCCCAAUUAGUGCAGGGACGUAUGCCAAUAGCUUUUGUGCUGUCUCUGCCACAGGAAAAGGUGAAGCAACAGUACGAGCUACAGUUGCACGCGACGUGGCUGCUUUGACGUUUCUUUUUUUUUUUUUGGUUAGAUCUAGAUCUAGUGUUACUAGGAAGAGAAGAGGAAGCAGAACUAGGGGGAGGGGGGGCGCUAUCUGACGGACACUUAGGGAUAGAGCUGAAUGCAUAAUAUGGGACUCUAGAGUCUGGUCUAGUGACUUUGUUUAUGCCUUUUGGGGUUCCUCUUCCAGCAAGAGAAGGAAAAAUCUGGACCAUCGAGAACUAGUACCCAUAGAAUAGAAACACAUUCUAAGUGGGCAAAUGGUGCUCUACUUGUGAGUGCAGUUGAUGUGGACAAGUCGCUAGAUUGUAAUCUGAUUUUACUAAUAUAUCACUAAAAUUGCAAUUUGA